UACAGAGGGGGCAAGCGUUAUUCGGAAUUAUUGGGCGUAAAGGGCGCGUAGGCGGCUUGGCAAGUGGAAGGUGAAAUCCCUCGGCUUAACCGAGGAACUGCCUUCCAGACUGCUUUGCUUGAGGCCGGGAGAGGCGAGUGGAAUUCCCAGUGUAGCGGUGAAAUGCGUUGAGAUCGGAAGGAACGCCCGUGGCGAAAGCGAGGUCCUGGGCUCCUGCUGACGCUGAGACGCGAAAGCCAGGGGAGCGAACGGG
rnacentral:rRNA from 1 species